UACGUAGGGCGCAAGCGUUUGUCCGGAAUCAUUGGGCGUAAAGAGCUCGUAGGCGGCCUGUUGCGUCCGCUGUGAAAUCCCGGGGCUUAACCCCGGGCGUGCAGUGGAUACGGGCUGGCUGGAGGCAGGCAGGGGAGAACGGAAUUCCCGGUGUAGCGGUGAAAUGCGCAGAUAUCGGGAGGAACACCGGUGGCGAAGGCGGUUCUCUGGGCCUGUACUGACGCUGAGGAGCGAAAGCGUGGGGAGCGAACAGG
rnacentral:rRNA from 1 species